AGACAGUGAAUUAUGCCUGGGCAGGGCAAAGCCAGAGGAAACUCUGGUGGAGGUCCGUAGCAGUCCUGACGUGCAAAUCAGUUGUCCAACCUGGGUAUAGGGAUGAAAGACUAAUCAAACCUUCUAGUAG
rnacentral:ncRNA from 1 species